GGCGAUUUUGCAAUCUUCAAGAGAGUUUGCAGUAGGUCGUCUUACAAUAGGAUUCUUCAUGGGUGAAACCUAAUGAAAAUGCCACAAUUAUGGUCCAACAGGGAUGAAAGUCUGGAAGCUCACAAAUGGCCACUCACCCUAUUCAAUGACUUGGUGAUUUUCAUGGUACAACCAUCACAGAUCAUCUGCCAGGCAAGGUUAUGUUCAGUUCCAGUAAAGCUCCUCAAUGUUUAAAUGAAAUAAGUGGCUUACAUUGAUUAGCACCAUACCUGACCACGUUACA